ACCAGACUCCUACGGGAGGCAGCAGUGGGGAAUAUUGCACAAUGGGGGAAACCCUGAUGCAGCAACGCCGCGUGAGUGAAGAAGUAUUUCGGUAUGUAAAGCUCUAUCAGCAGGGAAGAAAAUGACGGUACCUGAGUAAGAAGCCCCGGCUAACUACGUGCCAGCAGCCGCGGUAAUACGUAGGGGGCAAGCGUUAUCCGGAUUUACUGGGUGUAAAGGGAGCGUAGACGGCGAUGCAAGUCUGAAGUGAAAGCCCGGGGCUCAACCCCGGGACUGCUUUGGAAACUGUAUGGCUGGAGUGCUGGAGAGGCAAGCGGAAUUCCUAGUGUAGCGGUGAAAUGCGUAGAUAUUAGGAGGAACACCGGUGGCGAAGGCGGCUUACUGGACUGUAACUGACGUUGAGACUCGAAGGCGUGGGGAGCAAACAGGAUUAGAUACCCGCGUAGCC
rnacentral:rRNA from 1 species